GAACUUGGCAGAGAUGCCUGGUGCCUUCGGGAACGCUGAGACAGGUGCUGCAUGGCUGUCGUCAGCUCGUGUUGUGAAAUGUUGGGUUAAGUCCCGCAACGAGCGCAACCCUUAUCCUUUGUUGCCAGCGAUUCGGUCGGGAACUCAAAGGAGACUGCCGGUGAUAAACCGGAGGAAGGUGGGGAUGACGUCAAGUCAUCAUGGCCCUUACGAGUAGGGCUACACACGUGCUACAAUGGCGCAUACAAAGAGAAGCGACCUCGCGAGAGCAAGCGGACCUCAUAAAGUGCGUCGUAGUCCGGAUCGGAGUCUGCAACUCGACUCCGUGAAGUCGGAAUCGCUAGUAAUCGUGGAUCAGAAUGCCACGGUGAAUACGUUCCCGGGCCUUGUACACGCCGCCCGUCACACCAUGGGAGUGGGUUGCAAAAGAAGUAGGUAGCUUAACCUUCGGGAGGGCGCUUACCACUUUGUGAUUCAUGACUGGGGUGAAGUCGUAACAAGGUAGGCGUAGCGAG
rnacentral:rRNA from 1 species